AUGGAUAUUGACACUAGGUGCCCAGUGUGCUUCAGAUAUGAUGAGGAUGGUUGUCAUUGUUUCCUCAAAUGCAAAAAGGUGAAACAAUUGUGGCGCGCAUUACAGAUGGAAGAUAUUAGAAGCAAGUUAGUGCUAUGCAAUGAUCCUCUCAGCUUGUUUGAGGAGGUAUUUCAUCUGUCAGAGGAAGAGAGCAUAAAGGUGUGUGUCCUGUUCUGGCUAUGGUGGCAUGAAAGAAAUAAAGCUAACGUGGGCGACACGAUGAAAACCAUUGAUGAAAUUGUUGCCUCUAUUUACUAUCAUGUCAAUAUUUUCAGGAAUCUCAAGAUACGAAGGAGUGCCCAAAAACAGACCGCCACGCCAAAAUGGUCUCCUCCGCCAAGUACAUACCUUAAAACAAAUUCUGAUGGUGCAUUUCAUGAAGCAUCAAACUCUGGAGGUUGGGGUUGUACUUUGAGAAAUGAUGAAGGCACACUUUUGGCUGCAGGAGCAGGAAACCUGGAACUUGUAUCCGGUCCACUCCAUGCUGAAGCUUUAGCCAUGCUAUAUGCAAUCCAUGCCACGGCAAGGAUGGGAGGUAACCAAGUCAUCUUUGAAACUGAUUCCAUGGUGCUGAAACAGGCGGCAACAAGCGAAGAGUAUGAUAAAUCUACUUUAGGAUCAUUGUUCCAGGAGAUAAAAUUUCAGUUGAACGUUGCUUUUGAUGUUGCUAAACUGAAUGUAUGUCCUAGAAUCUGUAACAAUGCAGCACACUCGUUAGCAACGUAUGGUCAUGGCCUAGGGAGUGGUAAAUGUGAGACCUGGUUGGGCCACUUCCCUGAGUUUGUACAAAACUCUGUAACUGGCGACUUAGCCAGAUUGUCUUUGUAA
rnacentral:rRNA from 1 species